AAUAUAAAUAGUCUCGCAGAAAGUAAUAAAAUUCUCGAUUUUAUGAUCGUAAGAUGGAGGGUAGGAUGACAUAUACCCUGAAUGUUUUUCUUACUAUUUUGAUUGUUUGCUACUCCGGAACAGUGAUAUCUCGUACAACGUUGUCAUUAACUGUGCAGACAACAACUUGUGCCUUCUUCCGUGCCAUCAACAGAAGUGCCUUCUACAAAAACAACGACAGCUUUGCCUUCCUCUGUGCCAACCACAGUGAGUGGCACAUGUGAGAGCCUCGGUUAUGUUUACAAUGUAGAAAGUAACUAUUAUCCUGGUUAUUGGUCAAUACCCUCCUACAAUAAUGAAUGGUAUAACAUGUCGUUUUGGGGAGGGAACUUGCAGAUACCGUGGAAAGAAAACCUUGACGAUGAAUGUUUUUACUGGUCCGCUAGCCAUUUUCUUACAUUAAUAGAUAAACACAAAGACAUUGCAGAUAUAGGAGAAGAUAUUUUGACAUUCGAUGCUUGUAUUCUGAAUCAGAAUCAGAGUGACAACUGUAUCUUGGACGUUUCGGUUGAAAUGAGGAAAUGUAAUGGCAACCUAUUGUACAGAAUUCCUUGGAAAUAUAGUCACAUACAUGACUAUGAUCCUAAUAUAUAUUACAACACAUAUAUAU
rnacentral:lncRNA from 1 species